GACAGAGGGUGCAAACGUUGCUCGGAAUUACUGGGCGUAAAGCGCGUGUAGGCGGACCACCAAGUCGGACGUGAAAGCCCUGAGCUCAACUCAGGAACUGCAUCCGAAACUGGCGGUCUGGAGUAGUGGAGAGGAAAGCAGAAUUCCUGGUGUAGCGGUGAAAUGCGCAGAUAUCAGGAGGAACACCGGUGGCGAAGGCGGGUCUCUGGGCCGUAACUGGACGCCUGGAGGAGCGAAAGCAUGGGGAGCGAACAG
rnacentral:rRNA from 1 species